rnacentral:rRNA from 1 species
AUUGAACGCUGGCGGCAUGCCUUACACAUGCAAGUCGAACGGUAACGGGCCUUCGGGUGCCGACGAGUGGCGAACGGGUGAGUAAUGCAUCGGAACGUACCCAUCAGUGGGGGAUAACUCUCCGAAAGGAGGGCUAAUACCGCAUAUUCUGUGCGCAGGAAAGCGGGGGACCGCAAGGCCUCGCGCUGAUGGAGCGGCCGAUGUCAGAUUAGCUAGUUGGUGGGGUAAAGGCCUACCAAGGCGACGAUCUGUAGCGGGUCUGAGAGGAUGAUCCGCCACACGGGGACUGAGACACGGCCCAGACUCCUACGGGAGGCAGCAGUGGGGAAUUUUGGACAAUGGGGGCAACCCUGAUCCAGCCAUGCCGCGUGAGUGAAGAAGGCCUUCGGGUUGUAAAGCUCUUUCGGCCGGGAAGAAAUCGCAUCUCCUAAUACGGGGUGUGGAUGACGGUACCGGAAUAAGAAGCACCGGCUAACUACGUGCCAGCCGCCGCAGUAA